AUUGAACGCUGGCGGCAGGCCUAACACAUGCAAGUCGAACGAGUGGCGGACGGGUGAGUAAUGUCUGGGAAACUGACCGAUGGAGGGGGAUAAAUACUGGAAAAGGUAGCUAAGACCGCAUACCAUCGGAUGUGCCCAGAUGGGAUUAGCUAGUAGGUGGGGUAACGGCUCACCUGGGCGAAGAUCCCUAGCUGGUCUGAGAGGAUGAACAGCCACACUUGAACGGAGACACGGUCCAGACGCCUACGGAAGGCAGCAGUGGGGAAUAUUGCACAAUGGGCGCAAGCCUGAUGCAGCCAUGCCGCGUGUAUGAAGAAGGCCUUCGGGUUGUAAAGUACUUUCAGCGAGGAGGCGUUACUCGCAGAAGAAGCACCGGCUAACUCCGUGCCAGCAGCCGCGGUAAUAC
rnacentral:rRNA from 1 species